UACCAGCACCCCGAGUGGUCGGGACGUUUAUUGGGCCUAAAGAAUCCGUAGCCGGUUCUCCAAGUCUUCCGUUAAAUCCACCUGCUUAACAGAUGGGCUGCGGAAGAUACUAUAGAGCUAGGAGGCGGGAGAGGCAAGCGGUACUCGAUGGGUAGGGGUAAAAUCCGUUGAUCCAUUGAAGACCACCAGUGGCGAAGGCGGCUUGCCAGAACGCGCUCGACGGUGAGGGAUGAAAGCUGGGGGAGCAAACCGG
rnacentral:rRNA from 1 species